ACCCUCCUGACUCCUUACCCAUCAGACGGAAACACUGGUUUGAGUGGUUACAAAAAGAGGAAAAGUGAAAAUGACCUGGAUUCUUUUGCAACAAACCAGCGAGAUUCAAGCAAAC
rnacentral:snoRNA from 1 species